GAGAUUUUAUGGGGACAGUCAGUGGAAAACAGAAUUCAGGGAAGUCGUAUGUCCUUCACGGGGUGCGCCACUGAAUAUAGGCUUCACCUUUGGCGUGUUUGUGCAGCACCCGAGCUCCCUGGUGCCAGCUUUCUGCACGGUGUUGCCAUCUGAGGAGUAGCAGAGUCCUGCCUUUGUCUCAUGGGAUGGGAGGACUUGCCCAAGGUCGGUAAACUGGCGGAGCCCUGAAGGGCAGACUGCGCACCGGAGUCCAGUGCGCCGUGCAGGCUGCGUAGCAGCUGGCUCCUCUGACGCCCAGUUAGGCAGUGACCAGGCUGCGGGGAGGAGCACCCCACUUGCUAUCACAAGCAUCUCUGCAACACUUUCCUUACCGGCCCGCAUUGUGCCCUGGAGCCAGGAGCACCAUAAUGAAGUGGGAGUGUGAGGUGCGGGGGGCUCAGGGUUUGCUUUUGAGGAACCGUCAAGAGUGCCCAGGUCUAAUGUUGUCUCUCUUUUGGCGAAGGAUCUGGGGGUGAAACUUUGGCCAGUGAACAGAAGAAAUUGCUAUGGAAUACUCCCCCCUCUACUAUUUUAAUCAAGGCCUCUCUGACUUCAGCUUUUUUAGGGUGCUUUUCUUUUGGGGUGCUGGGCUAGAAGAAGGCCCUCUCAAAUUCUGUCCUUGAAGCAGUAGGCACAGCAAGUGCUCUGGAGUCAGCUGGCUCUGAAGUUCUGGGGACAUUGUGAAGUCGUCAGAGUGCAGGUGACAUAUCCAUUUCUCAUCUCUUGCUAGAAAUCACCUGACUGGAACAUGAAUUACUUUUGUGAUGCAGGAACCCUUGGCUAUGUGAAGCAAAGCUUCACUUUUUUGGGCUUAUUUUUAAAGGGGAGAAGUGCUGAUGUGGGCCAGAUGACAGUCACCUUGGAAUCAUGUGCUUGUGUCUAUAACCGGCUUGCACACCUCUUGCUAAAUGUUUUCCUGUUUGUAGAAGCAUGUGGCUGUGUUGAAAGAAUUUCACAAGAGCGCUGGCCCAUUUCUCUUAGAGUCCUUCCCACAUUUUAUUGCCUGCUUCUGCUGAUAAGAAAUGCCAAUGCAGUUUGGGUCGAAACUGCAUCAGAGAAGAGUCAAAGAGCUAAAUCCAGAGAGAGCUUCUUUUAAAAAUAGUGUGACCUGGCCUUUACAGUCUAGGUACGUGCCACCCUCUUCACCUGAGGAUUGAAUCCACAGAGUGCACCCCUCAGAGGUGGGGCAGAACUGAUGGAGAACCUGGACCAACCGCCCGCCCUCCUUGGGCCCCUCUCAGCAACCAUGAGGUCUACAUGGAAGUGUAACUCCAGGUCUUGUGGAAGUGAGAACUGCAGCGGUAGCCCCCGACUCCCCCCACCCCGCCCCACGUCUAUUUUGGGGCUUCUGCCUCGGGACUCCUCUCACCUAUCUGAAAGGCUGGCUUGAAGUGGACUCAUUCAGGACCUUUCUUUAUAGAACUCAGAGCCUUUGUUUGUAGCCUUAUCUUUGUCCUCAUGGCAUUAGAAGCAAAGAUAUUUUCCAUUACACUUUUCUAUAACGUGCAUUCUGCUCCAAGCUCUGCGGUCAUGGGUACAAUUACACUGAAUCCUGAUCUGACUGCCAGAAUGCAGCCUGAGGCUGAAGACCUGGGACCAGGAAUGUCUGAUCUGGUGGGUGGACCCUGGCUCAGAUCUUACCUAAAUCAUCAGAGAGGUAAAUUGAAACAGAGACAAUAAUCAUGGCCAGCCUCACUCCCCCAUCCUACAGAAGGGGUGGGAACUGAAUUUUAAGCAGCUGGAAAGAUGUAAAGAGUAUAUAAAUUGCAUUUUUUUCAAUUAU